rnacentral:piRNA from 1 species
GGCUAUUUUUGUGAACCCUGCAAUGAGGAA